rnacentral:rRNA from 1 species
CCUACGGGAGGCAGCAGUAGGGAAUCUUCCACAAUGGGCGCAAGCCUGAUGGAGCAACACCGCGUGAGUGAAGAAGGGUUUCGGCUCGUAAAGCUCUGUUGUUGGAGAAGAACGUGCGUGAGAGUAACUGUUCACGCAGUGACGGUAUCCAACCAGAAAGUCACGGCUAACUACGUGCGAGCAGCCGAGGUAAUACGUAGGUGGCAAGCGUUAUCCGGAUUUAUUGGGCAUAAAGCGAGCGCAGGCGGUUGCUUAGGUCUGAUGUGAAAGCCUUCGGCUUAACCGAAGAAGUGCAUCGGAAACCGGGCAACUUGAGUGCAGAAGAGGACAGUGGAACUCCAUGUGUAGCGGUGGAAUGCGUAGAUAUAUGGAAGAACACCAGUGGCGAAGGCGGCUGUCUGGUCUGCAACUGACGCUGAGGCUCGAAAGCAUGGGUAGCGAACAGGAUUAGAUACCCGUGUAGUC